rnacentral:rRNA from 1 species
UACCAGCACCCCGAGUGGUCGGGACGAUUAUUGGGCCUAAAGCAUCCGUAGCCGGUUCUGCAAGUCCUCCGUUAAAUCCAGCUGCUCAACAGAUGGGCUGCGGAGGAUACUACAGAGCUAGGAGGCAGGAGAGGCAAGCGGUACUCAGUGGGUAGGGGUAAAAUCCGUUGAUCCAUUGAAGACCACCAGUGGCGAAGGCGGCUUGCCAGAAUGCGCUCGACGGUGAGGGAUGAAAGCUGGGGGAGCAAACCGG